ACGUAGGGUGCAAGCGUUGUCCGGAAUUAUUGGGCGUAAAGAGCUCGUAGGCGGUUUGUCACGUCUGCUGUGAAAUUUCGAGGCUCAACCUCGAACUUGCAGUGGGUACGGGCAGGCUAGAGUGCGGUAGGGGAGAUGGGAAUUCCUGGUGUAGCGGUGGAAUGCGCAGAUAUCAGGAGGAACACCAAUGGCGAAGGCACAUCUCUGGGCCGUAACUGACGCUGAGGAGCGAAAGCGUGGGGAGCAAACAGG
rnacentral:rRNA from 1 species